GUAACACGUGGGUAACCUGCCUGUAAGACUGGGAUAACUCCGGGAAACCGGGGCUAAUACCGGAUGGUUGUUUGAACCGCAUGGUUCAAACAUAAAAGGUGGCUUCGGCUACCACUUACAGAUGGACCCGCGGCGCAUUAGCUAGUUGGUGAGGUAACGGCUCACCAAGGCAACGAUGCGUAGCCGACCUGAGAGGGUGAUCGGCCACACUGGGACUGAGACACGGCCCAGACUCCUACGGGAGGCAGCAGUAGGGAAUCUUCCGCAAUGGACGAAAGUCUGACGGAGCAACGCCGCGUGAGUGAUGAAGGUUUUCGGAUCGUAAAGCUCUGUUGUUAGGGAAGAACAAGUACCGUUCGAAUAGGGCGGUACCUUGACGGUACCUAACCAGAAAGCCACGGCUAACUACGUGCCAGCAGCCGCGGUAAUACGUAGGUGGCAAGCGUUGUCCGGAAUUAUUGGGCGUAAAGGGCUCGCAG
rnacentral:rRNA from 1 species